rnacentral:rRNA from 1 species
UUGGAGGGCAAGUCUGGUGCCAGCAGCCGCGGUAAUUCCAGCUCCAAUAGCGUAUAUUAAAGUUGUUGCAGUUAAAAAGCUCGUAGUUGAAUUUCGGGAUUAGUACGUUGGUCGUGCCUUCGGUACGUACUGGUGUUACUGAUUCCUACCUUCUGACGAACCAUCAUGUCAUUAAUUUGGUGUGGUGGGGAAUCAGGACUGUUACUUUGAAAAAAUUAGAGUGUUUAAAGCAGGCUCGCGCUUGAAUACAUUAGCAUGGAAUAAUGAAAUAGGACGUUGACCCUAUUUUGUUGGUUUCUAGGAUUGACGUAAUGAUUAAUAGGGAUAGUUGGGGGCAUUAGUAUUCAAUUGUCAGAGGUGAAAUUCUUGGAUUUAUUGAAGACUAACUACUGCGAAAGCAUUUGCCAAGGAUGUUUUCAUUAAUCAAGAACGAAAGUUAGGGGAUCGAAGACGAUCAGAUACCGUCGUAGUCUUAACCAUAAACUAUGCCGACUAGGGAUCGGAUGAUGUUAUUUUUAAUGACUCAUUCGGCGCUUAC